UACGUAGGGGGCAAGCGUUGUCCGGAUUUAUUGGGCGUAAAGAGCGUGUAGGCGGCCAGGUAGGUCUGCUGUGAAAACUCGAGGCUCAACCUCGAGACGUCGGCGGAAACCAUCUGGCUAGAGUCCGGAAGAGGAGAGUGGAAUUCCUGGUGUAGCGGUGAAAUGCGCAGAUAUCAGGAAGAACACCCGUGGCGAAAGCGGCUCUCUGGAACGGUACUGACGCUGAGACGCGAAAGCGUGGGGAGCGAACAGG
rnacentral:rRNA from 1 species